CGUUGCCUCCGUUCGAAUUAUAGCGCAAACCGCCAUACACUGUCACAGAUUGUAUACAUCUUGCCGAUAGGAAGCACACGCUCUAACCUCCUUUUCGUACGCGUUCUGUUGGAACUGGUUGGAACCACUUCAAUCUGAAACAACGCUGUAAAGAGCCAUAUAUACAUAUCAUUACGAGCUGAAUGCUGACUGAGAGGAAGUCGAGGGCAGGAAAAGGUUUUGUGUCAGGCUGGAUGCCGGUUUACCUGGGGGUCGGGUGAUAGCAGGGGAAGGAUUAACUCAUUGCAUCGUCACCAGCAUAAACUGCAUGGGCAUCAAAAUUUCCCGACUGAGACGUAUUUAUAUCUGAAAAAUGGAUAUCCAAAGAUGACGAUAUAUUAUGAAUGCUAGUAGAAAAGGAAAGAAAUAAAAUUCACCU